GAUGACAAGAAGUUUGUGAGCAACAUAACCAGGUUGAGCUCGGGUCCUUUCCGGACCAUCACGGUGCGAGACACGAUGUCCGACCUGCCGGAGGUGCGGAAUGGAGCCUCGGCACUGGAGAUCUCCUACAACGGGGAGCCUCAGUCCUGGUUCCAGAGGCAGCUCCGGGGCGCACAGUACCAGCCCAUCCUCAGGGACCACAUCUGUAAGGUAAUGGCACCCCGACAGAGCGGCUUCUCCUUGAGGCCCAGCCCAGCAGCCUCGUGGGAACAGUCAGCCUGUCCAAGACUCAGGGGAGACAUGGAAUCUGAUCCCAGGCUCCUCCUCCCGAGUCCUCAGCCUUUGUGUGACCCCUGGCCUCUCCUGCAUGGUCAUGGGAAGUGUCAGAGCUCCCGCAGUCCUGGACUCUGUCUGGAAUGGUGUCAAGCCACUGCCCACCCACCACUGCCUUCCCCCUCGCUGCCUCUCCCCACAUGUUUUCCCCAUCCCCUGGCACCACUCCCCUUCCCCCACCCUAAAGGCUCAGCUUAGAUUCCCACGCUCUCCUACC
rnacentral:sRNA from 1 species